rnacentral:rRNA from 1 species
AGUGAACGCUGGCGGUAGGCCUAACACAUGCAAGUCGAACGGCAGCACAGUAAGAGCUUGCUCUUACGGGUGGCGAGUGGCGGACGGGUGAGGAAUACAUCGGAAUCUACUUUUUCGUGGGGGAUAACGUAGGGAAACUUACGCUAAUACCGCAUACGACCUACGGGUUAAAGCAGGGGAUCUUCGGACCUUUCGCGAUUGAUUGAGCCGAUUUCGGAUUAGCUAGUUGGCGAGGUAAAGGCCCACCAAGGCGACGAUCCGUAGCUGGUCUGAGAGGAUGAUCAGCCACACUGGAACUGAGACACGGUCCAGACUCCUACGGGAGGCAGCAGUGGGGAAUAUUGGACAAUGGGCGCAAGCCUGAUCCAGCCAUACCGCGUGGGUGAAGAAGGCCUUCGGGUUGUAAAGCCCUUUUGUUGGGAAAGAAAAGCAGCAGGUUAAUACCCCGCUGUUCUGACGGUACCCAAAGAAUAAGCACCGGCUAACUUCGUG